GAACUGGCAACACUAGGUCAGUGCAUCUGGCUGUUAACCAGAAGGUUGGUGGUUCGAGCCCCCUGCCA